rnacentral:rRNA from 1 species
GAUGAACGCUGGCGGCGUGCUUAACACAUGCAAGUCGAACGAUGAGGCCCAGCUUGCGGGGUGUGUUAGUGGGGAAAGGGGGAGUGACACACGAGUAAAACGCGCUCAAGACUGGGGGAUACCUGGAGAACAGGGGGGAAAACCGGGGAGGAGCGCCCACGGUGCGGGGGGGGGGGGGGAGAGUUUUGGCGGUUGGGGAUGGACUCGCGGCCUAUCAGCUUGUUGGUGGGGUAGUGGCUCACCAAGGCCGUGACGGGUAGCCGGCCUGAGAGGGUGACCGGCCACACUGGGACUGAGAUACGGCCCAGACUCCUACGGGAGGCAGCAGUGGGGAAUAUUGCACAAUGGGCGGAAGCCUGAUGCAGCGACGCCGCGUGCGGGAUGACGGCCUUCGGGUUGUAAACCUCUUUCGGUAGGGAAGAAGCGAAAGUGACGGUACCUGCUGAAGAAGCACCGGCUAACUACGUG